rnacentral:rRNA from 1 species
CCUACGGGCGGCAGCAGUGGGGAAUAUUGGGCAAUGGGUGCAAGCCUGACCCAGCAACGCCGCGUGAAGGAAGAAGGCCCUCGGGUUGUAAACUUCUUUUGUCAGGGAAGAGUAGAAGACGGUACCUGACGAAUAAGCCACGGCUAAUUACGUGCCAGCAGCCGCGGUAAUACGUAGGUGGCAAGCGUUGUCCGGAUUUACUGGGUGUAAAGGGCGUGUAGCCGGGUUGACAAGUCAGAUGUGAAAUCCUGCGGCUUAACCGCAGAACUGCAUGUGAAACUGUUGAUCUUGAGUACUGGAGAGGCAGACGGAAGUCCUAGUGUAGCGGUGAAAUGCGUAGAUAUUAGGAGGAACACCAGUGGCGAAGGCGGUCUGCUGGACAGCAACUGACGGUGAGGCGCGAAAGCGUGGGGAGCAAACAGGAUUAGAUACCCGGGUAGUC